GUGGGGUGCAGUAAAUUAGAAGGGAUGUCAGAUAAUGUGAAAGUGGUCUCGGCCUUGAAAGAUGGUACUUCUAGCUUAGUUGCAAGUGCCAUUUUCGAUGACUGUUAUUAUAUGUCAUUAGAUUUUAAUCACGUUGUGUAUGAUCACUGUAAUAGGGAGAGCAACCAGGUCGCUUAUGAACUAGCUAGGCUAGCUAAGUACUCUCCCCCAAGUAUCUGGAUGGAUUCUCCUCCAAAUGAGGUGGUUCCCUUGGUUGUAAACGAUGCUACUCUAUUGACUGAAUAA
rnacentral:rRNA from 1 species